rnacentral:rRNA from 1 species
GAUGAACGCUGGCGGCGUGCCUAAUACAUGCAAGUCGAGCGAACAGACGAGGAGCUUGCUCCUCUGACGUUAGCGGCGGACGGGUGAGUAACACGUGGAUAACCUACCUAUAAGACUGGGAUAACUUCGGGAAACCGGAGCUAAUACCGGAUAAUAUAUUGAACCGCAUGGUUCAAUAGUGAAAGACGGUUUUGCUGUCACUUAUAGAUGGAUCCGCGCCGCAUUAGCUAGUUGGUAAGGUAACGGCUUACCAAGGCAACGAUGCGUAGCCGACCUGAGAGGGUGAUCGGCCACACUGGAACUGAGACACGGUCCAGACUCCUACGGGAAGCAGCAGUAGGGAAUCUUCCGCAAUGGGCGAAAGCUUGACGGAGCAACGCCGCGUGAGUGAUGGAGGUCUUCGGAUCGUAAAACUCUGUUAUUAGGGAAGAACAAAUGUGUAAGUAACUAUGCACGUCUUGACGGUACCUAAUCAGAAAGCCACGGCUAACUACGUG